rnacentral:rRNA from 1 species
CCUAGGGUGUGCUGCAGUGAGGAAUAUUGGUCAAUGGACGAGAGUCUGAACCAGCCAAGUAGCGUGAAGGAUGACUGCCCUAUGGGUUGUAAACUUCUUUUAUCUGGGAAUAAAACGUUCCACGUGUGGGAUUUUGUAUGUACCAUAUGAAUAAGGCUCGGCUAACUCCGUGCCAGCAGCCGCGGUAAUACGGAGGAUCCGAGCGUUAUCCGGAUUUUUUGGGUUUAAAGGGAUCCGCGGUGGAUUGUUAAGUCAGUUGUGAAAGUUUGCGGCUCAAACGUAAAAUUGCAGUUGAAACUGGCAGUCGUGAGUGCAGUAGAGGUGGGCGGAAUUCGUGGGGUAGCGGUGAAAUGCUUAGAUAUCACGAAGAACUCCGAUUGCGAAGGAAGUUCACUGGACUGCAACUGACACUGAGGCACGAAAGUGUGGGUAUCAAACAGGAUUAGAUACCCUUGUAGUC